rnacentral:rRNA from 1 species
CAUAGCGGAGGAAAAGAGACUAACAGGAUUCCCCUAGUACGGCGAGUGAAGAGGGAAGAGCUCAAAUUUGAAAUCUGGCGGCCUACGGUCGUCCGAGUUGUAAUCUAGAGAAGUGUUUUCCGCUCUGGACCGUGUACAAGUCCUUUGGAACAAGGCGUCAUAGAGGGUGAGAAUCCCGUCUACGACACGGACUACCAGUGCUCUGUGAUACACUCUCAACGAGUCGAGUUGUUUGGGAAUGCAGCUCAAAAUGGGUGGUAAAUUCCAUCUAAAGCUAAAUAUGGGCGAAAGACCGAUAGCGAACAAGUACCGUGAGGGAAAGAUGAAAAGCACUUUGGAAAGAGAGUUAAACAGUACGUGAAAUUGUUGAAAGGGAAACGCUUGAAGUCAGUCGCGUCUUCAGAAAUUCAGCCUGGCUUCUGCCUGGUGUACUUUUCUGUUGGACGGGCCAGCAUCGGUUUCGGCCGCCAGAAAAAGGUGAGAGGAAGGUGGCACCUCCGGGUGUGUUAUAGCCUCUCAUCGUAUGUGGCGGCUGGGACUGAGGACCGCAGCACGCCUUUAUGGCCGGGGUUCGCCCACGUAACGUGCUUAGGAUGCUGGCGUAAUGGCUUUAAGCGACCCGUCUUGAAACACGGACCAAGGAGUCUAACAUGCC